rnacentral:rRNA from 1 species
GACGAACGCUGGCGGUGUGCUUCACACAUGCAAGUCGAACGGGGUAGCAAUACCCAGUGGCGGACGGGUGAGUAAAACGUAGGAAUCUGCCUUUAGAUGGGGGAUAGCAGACCGAAAGGUCUAUUAAUACCGCAUAUGCCGAAAGGUGAAAGGAGCAAUCCGUCUGAAGAUGAGCCUGCGUCUGAUUAGCUAGUUGGUAAGGUAAAGGCUUACCAAGGCUACGAUCAGUAGCUGGUCUGAGAGGAUGAUCAGCCACAAUGGAACUGAGACAACGGUCCAUACUCCUACGGGAGGCAGCAGUGGGGAAUUUUACACAAUGGGCGAAAGCCUGAUGUAGCGACACCGCGUGAGCGAAGAAGCCUUUUGGGGUGUAAAGCUCUGUCAGCAGGGACGAAAAAAAUGACGGUACCUGCAGAGGAAGCAUCGGCUAACUACGUGCCAGCAGCCGCGGUAA